CAACCUGGCGCCUUCGUCUAUGAUGAAGGCUACAAAGCGUGAUUCCUUGGUCCCAGCCCCUGCUUGCCAGGUGGUCUCUCUGCGUGUCUCUGUCUUCAUGUGGUGCUUUCUUCUUCUUACAAGGACAUCAGCCAUGCUGGAUUAGUUCCCACUACUACUCUCUGGGACCCCCAAAUCAGGUGCCAAGAACAUACACUGGGGAAAAGGCAGUCUCUUCAAUAAAUGGUGCCGGGAAAACUUGAUAUCCAUAUUCAGGAGAAUGAAACUAGACCCCAAUUUCUUCUCAUAUACAAAAAUCAAAUCAAAAUGGAUUAAAGAUUUAGGCUGGGUGCAGUGGCUUACUCCUGUAAUCCGAACACUUUGGGAGGAUGAAGAGGGAGAAUCACUUGAGUCCCGGAGCUCAGGACCAGCCUGGGCAACAUAAUGAGACCUUGUCUCUACAAAAAGUAAACAAAAUUAGCUGGGCAUGAUGGUCACAUGCCUGUAGUCCCAGCUACUCAGAAGGUUGAGAUGGGAGGAUUGCUUGAGGCCAGGAGAUCAAGGCUGCAGUGAGCUGAGAUCAAGCCACUGCACUCCACCCUGGACAACAGAGUGAGACCUUAUCCCCCCCUCCACCCCAUCCCACAAAAAAAAGGAUUACAGAAUUAAAUCUAAGACCUCAGACUAUGAAACUACUACAAGAAAACAUUGGGGAAAAUCUCCAGGACGUUGGUCUGGGCAAAAAUUUUUUGAGCAAUACCCCCAAGCACAGGCAACCAAAGGAAAAAUGAACAAAUGGGAUGACGUCAUGUUAAAAAACUUCUGCACAGCAAAGGAAAUAAUCAACAAUGUGAAGAGACAACCCACAGAAUGGGAGAAAAUAUUUGCAAACUACUCAUCUGACAAGGGAUUAGUAACCAGAAUAUAUAAGGAGUUCAAACAACUCUAUAGGAAAAAAUCUAAUAAUCUGAUAGAAAAACAGGCAAAAUAUUCAAAUAGACAUUUCUCAAAAGAAGACAUCCAAAGAGUAAAUAGGCAUAUGAAAAAGUGCCCAACAUCACUGAUCAUCAGAGAAAUGCAAAUCAAAACUACAAUGAGAUAUCUUACCCCAGUUAAAAUGGCUUAUACCCAAAAGACAGGCAAUAACAAAUUCUAGCAAGGAUGUGGAGAAAAAGGAACCCUCAUACACUGUUGAUGGGAAUGAAAAUCAGUACAUGUACUAUGGAGAACAGUUUGAAGGUUCCUCAAAAAACUAAAAAUAGAGCCUACUUUACCAUCUGGCAAUCCCAUUGCUGGGUAUAUAGUCGAAAGAAAGGAAAUCAGUAUAUUAAGGAGAUAGCUACACUCCUAUAUUUGUUGUAGCACUGUGUACAAUAGCCAAGACUUGGAAGCAACCUAAGUGUCCAUCAACAGAUAAACGGUUAAAGAAUGUGUUACAUAUGCACAAUGGAGUACUAUUCAGCCAUGAAAACGAAUGAGAUCCUGUCAUUUGCCACCACCUGGAUGGAACUGGAGAUGAUUAUGUUACAUGAAAUAUGCCAGGCACAGAAAGACAAACAUUGCCUGUUCUCACUUCUUUGUGGGAUUGAAAAAUCAAAACAAUUGAACUCAUGGACAUAGAGAGUAGAAGGAUGGUUAUCAGAGGCUGGGAAGAAUAGUGGGGGUGAGUGGGGAAAAGGUGGGGAUGGUUAAUGGGUACAAAAAAAUAGUUAGAAAUGAUGAAUAAGACCUACUAUUUGAUAGCACACCAGGGUGACUAUAGUCAAUAAUAACUUAAUUGUACAUUUAAAAAUAAUGACAAGAGUAUAAUUGGAUCAUUUGUAACACAAAGGAUAAAUACUUGAGAUGGAAAUCCCAUUCUCCACAAUGUGAUUAUUAUGUAUUGCAUGCCUGUAUCAAAACAUCUCAUGUAUCCCAUAAAUAUAUACAUCUAUUAUAUACCCACAAAAAUUAAAAAUUAAAAAGAAAGAACAUUUGCCUAACCAGGUAUGAGCUCCUGAUUCUCAGAGAUAGAGACUAAUCAUGUCUUUGUUUGCUGCUUUAGGGUUUAGCAUAGGCUUAGCACGUUGUAACUCUCAUUAAAGCUUUGCUGGAUGAAUGAUA